rnacentral:rRNA from 1 species
UACGUAGGUGGCAAGCGUUGUCCGGAUUUAUUGGGUUUAAAGGGUGCGUAGGCGGUUUUAUAAGUCAGUGGUGAAAUACGGCAGCUCAACUGUCGAGGUGCCAUUGAUACUGUAGAACUUGAGUACAGACGAGGUAAGCGGAAUUGACGGUGUAGCGGUGAAAUGCUUAGAUAUCGUCAAGAACACCGAUAGCGAAGGCAGCUUACUAGACUGUAACUGACGCUGAGGCACGAAAGUGUGGGGAUCAAACAGG